rnacentral:tRNA from 1 species
UUUACUCUUAGCUCAGUGGAAGAGCAUUCGCCUUCUAAGCGAGUGGUCACAGGUUCAAGUCCUGUAGAGUAUAU